GUGUGUUUGUGUCAGUCAGAGGAGAUCCCUUCAGUUCAUCUUCAUCAUCAGUCAUGUUCUCUGUAGCUCUGAUACUGCUGUUGGCAUCUGGAUCCUGUGUGUACAGUAUAGACCUGAUCCAGCCAGACUCAGUGGUCCUGCAGCCUGGACACACUUUGACCAUCAGCUGUCAGGUCUCUUAUUCUCUCAGCAGCCGUUGUACAGGUUGGAUCCGACAACCUGCAAAGAUGGGACUGGAAUACAUCGUGAGCAUGCAUACUGGACACGCCACAGUCUAUAAGGAGUCUUUAAAACACAAGUUCAAUAUAGUUGCAGAUUCUUCACACCAAACAGUGACUCUAAAUGGACAGAAUAUGCAGCCUGAAGACACUGCUGUGUAUUACUGUGCAAGUGAGACACAGCAACACAAACCAUCUGUAGACCUGAACAAAAACCCCUCAGAGUGAAAACCAUG